rnacentral:rRNA from 1 species
GUGGGGAAUUUUGCACAAUGGGCGAAAGCCUGAUGCAGCAACGCCGCGUGUGUGAUGAAGGUUUUCGGAUCGUAAAGCACUUUCGACCGGGACGAAUAAGCUUCACCUAAUACGUGAGGCCCUGACGGUACCGGGAGAAGAAGCACCGGCUAACUCUGUGCCAGCAGCCGCGGUAAUACAGAGGGUGCAAGCGUUGUUCGGAAUUAUUGGGCGUAAAGCGCGUGUAGGCGGCUUGUUAAGUCGGGUGUGAAAGCCCUCAGCUCAACUGAGGAAGUGCGCCCGAAACUGGCGAGCUUGAGUGCCGGAGAGGAUGGCGGAAUACCCCAAGUAGAGGUGAAAUUCGUAGAUAUGGGGUGGAACACCGGUGGCGAAGGCGGCCAUCUGGACGGCAACUGACGCUGAGACGCGAAAGCGUGGGUAGCAAACAGGAUUAGAUACCCGAGUAGUCC